UGGAUUGAUGAUGACUACUGGUGGCGUAUGAGUCGUGUACGAUGACUGGCAGUCUGAUGUCCGA
ensembl:snoRNA